UACGAAGGGGGCAAGCGUUGUCCGGAAUCAUUGGGCGUAAAGCGCGCGUAGGCAGCCCGGUAAGUCCGCUGUAAAAGUCCAGGGCUCAACCCUGGAAAGCCGGUGGAUACUGUCGGGCUAGAGUCCGGAAGAGGCGAGUGGAAUUCCUGGUGUAGCGGUGGAAUGCGCAGAUAUCAGGAGGAACACCGAUAGCGAAGGCAGCUCGCUGGGACGGUACUGACGCUGAGGCGCGAAAGCGUGGGGAGCGAACAGG
rnacentral:rRNA from 1 species